UACGUAGGGUGCAAGCGUUGUCCGGAAUUAUUGGGCGUAAAGAGCUCGUAGGCGGUUCGUCGCGUCGGCUGUGAAAACCCGGAGCUCAACUCCGGGCCUGCAGUCGAUACGGGCGGACUCGAGUUCGGCAGGGGAGACUGGAAUUCCUGGUGUAGCGGUGAAAAUGCGCAGAUAUCAGGAGGAACACCGGUGGCGAAGGCGGGUCUCUGGGCCGAUACUGACGCUGAGGAGUGAAAGCGUGGGGAGCAAACAGG
rnacentral:rRNA from 1 species